rnacentral:rRNA from 1 species
AGCAUGUGGUUAAUCGAAGCAACGCGAAGAACCUUACCAGGUCUUGACAUCCCGAUGCUAUUUCUAGAGAUAGAAAGUUACUUCGGUACAUCGGUGACAGGUGGUGCAUGGUUGUCGUCAGCUCGUGUCGUGAGAUGUUGGGUUAAGUCCCGCAACGAGCGCAACCCCUAUUGUUAGUUGCCAUCAUUCAGUUGGGCACUCUAGCGAGACUGCCGGUAAUAAACCGGAGGAAGGUGGGGAUGACGUCAAAUCAUCAUGCCCCUUAUGACCUGGGCUACACACGUGCUACAAUGGUUGGUACAACGAGUUGCGAGUCGGUGACGGCGAGCUAAUACUCCUAAAGCCAAUCUCAGUUCGGAUUGUAGGCUGCAACUCGCCUACAUGAAGUCGGAAUCGCUAGUAAUCGCGGAUCAGCACGCCGCGGUGAAUACGUUCCCGGGCCUU